rnacentral:rRNA from 1 species
CCUACGGGUGACAGCAGUGGGGAAUAUUGCGCAAUGGGCGAAAGCCUGACGCAGCGACGCCGCGUGAGGGAUGAAGGUCUUCGGAUCGUAAACCUCUGUCAGCAGGGAAGAACGGUCACUGUGCUAAUCAGCAGUGAAUUGACGGUACCUGCAAAGGAAGCACCGGCUAACUCCGUGCCAGCAGCCGCGGUAAUACGGAGGGUGCGAGCGUUAAUCGGAAUUACUGGGCGUAAAGCGCUCGUAGGCGGUAUGUCAAGUCAAGGGGGAAAUCCCCGCGCUCAACGUGGGAACUGCCUUUGAAACUGGCAAACUGGAGUGUGUGAGAGGAUAGUGGAAUUCUAGGUGUAGGAGUGAAAUCCGUAGAUAUCUGGAGGAACAUCAGUGGCGAAGGUGACUAUCUGGCACAUAACUGACGCUGAGGAGCGAAAGCGUGGGUAGCAAACAGGAUUAGAUACCCGGGUAGUC